AGCAGCCGCGGUAAUUCCAGCUCCAAUAGCGUAUAUUAAAGUUGUUGCAGUUAAAAAGCUCGUAGUUGAAUUUCGAGACCGGUUUAUUGGUCGUGCUUUUGUACGUACUGGUAUUAUUGGUUUCUCCUUUCUGACGAAUCUUAAUGCCAUUAAUUUGGUGUUUUGGGGAAUCAGGACUGUUACCUUGAAAAAAUUAGAGUGUUUAAAGCAGGCUCACGCUUGAAUACAUUAGCAUGGAAUAACGGAAUAGGACGUUUGAUUCUAUUUUGUUGGUUUCUAGGAUCGACGUAAUGAUUAAUAGGGGAUAGUUGGGGGCAUUAGUAUUCAAUUGUCAGAGGUGAAAUUCUUGGAUUU
rnacentral:rRNA from 1 species